ensembl:lncRNA
CCCGACAGGAGAGCGCAUGAGCAACACAUGCUACCAGCAAGAGCGCACAUCAUAGAGCACGAAGUUUGACCAACCCUGUCUCUUCUAACAAUAACGACGCGUUGUCACCCCUCAAGAACUCAGCGGACCAGAACAGAGGAAAGUGCUGUCCUCAGACUUUGGGAGUGCUGACAUCUUCAUAUUCCUGCCCACCCUGCCACACGCUCCCUCCUAGAUACCUCUGAUUGAUGUUCGUCUGCCUGGCCGACUAUCGUCCGCUUUCCUUCAUGAAUACAGACGUUGUGUUUUAAGGGGAGGAAGCAGGGAAGUCGCGUGGAGGAGAAGCAGUUAGUCUUGGGUUACAGACCUGGAUUAAUGCUUGGCUUAGGACACCAGAGGAAACCAACUCUUCUCUCAGAGGAUCCUUUUCUUCAACACAGUAAUACCCUACCGAGGACUCAGGGCCUUUGACAGUUAUCAUCAGUGACUGUUGAAACCCAUUCACAGACAGAUGGACAUCUUUCACCACGUAUUUAAUCCUAAAAGUACACACCAUAUAGGGAGGGUGAGAGUGUUUACUUGUUAGACCCACACUGGGCUAUAGACAUAGCUCUGCUUUUCAAACCCACUAACUGCCCCUUCCCUGGAGAAAAGGCUUACUUAGCAUCUAAUGCUGUGCGUUGCUUUCACAUUCAGCAUCAUUGAUCCACUGAUCCCCCCCCUCUGAUCUGAUUAGCCUUUUAGCCUCUCAUAUUGUUUACGCAAGUAUAUACACACACACAGGCACAUGCUGCUGUCAUGCUGUCAGCUCGUUUACACAUCUACGUCUCGCCUGGCUGUGAUUAGC